UAAGAUGUCCUGUUUUAUUGUCUUUCCAGGUUGGUGGUGGUUUGUGGGAGUUGCAGCUCUUUUAUUAACUGUUGUUAUUGUUGUUGCUCUCAUCAUAUGGAAGAAAACUAAAGGAAAAAAACCCCAGAUGGAUGAAAACACUGGACGGAGCUUAAACCCUGCAGUGAGUCCAGAAAGCAGUCAGGACACGGUGAGAUCUCACACUACACCCAGGACAAAGUUACACUCACUGUUUUUAGAUUUGUUGUUCAAAAUGUAGCUCUAUGAGACACACAGUGACUCUUGAAUCUAAGUUCUUUCUGCAAGAGAAGAAGUGGGGAGUCUGA